GCCGGUACAAAACGUCGCAAUCUCGCAAGAGGGAGCUAAUCGCAAAAACCGGUCUCAGUUCGGAUUGAAGUCUGCAACUCGACUUCAUGAAGUUGGAAUCGCUAGUAAUCGCGGAUCAGAACGCCGCGGUGAAUACGUUCCCGGGUCUUGUACACACCGCCCGUCACAUCACGAAAGUAGGUUGUACUAGAAGUAGCCGGGCCAACACGCAAGGGAGGCAGGUUACCACGGUAUGAUUUAUGAUUGGGGUGAAGUCGUAACAAGGUAACC
rnacentral:rRNA from 1 species